GUCCUAGCCGUAAACGUUGGGCACUAGGUGUGGGAGGUAUCGACCCCUUCCGUGCCGCAGCUAACGCAUUAAGUGCCCCGCCUGGGGAGUACGGCCGCAAGGUUGAAACUCAAAGGAAUUGACGGGGCCCGCACAAGCGGUGGAGCAUGUGGUUCAAUUCGACGCAACGCGAAGAACCUUACCAGGGCUUGACAUCCUCGGAAUCCCGCCGAAAGGCGGGAGUGCCCGCAAGGGAGCCGAGAGACAGGUGGUGCAUGGCUGUCGU
rnacentral:rRNA from 1 species